ACUUACAGAUGGACCCGCGGCGCAUUAGCUAGUUGGUGGGGUAAUGGCUCACCAAGGCGACGAUGCGUAGCCGACCUGAGAGGGUGAUCGGCCACACUGGGACUGAGACACGGCCCAGACUCCUACGGGAGGCAGCAGUAGGGAAUCUUCCGCAAUGGACGAAAGUCUGACGGAGCAACGCCGCGUGAGUGAUGAAGGUUUUCGGAUCGUAAAGCUCUGUUGUUAGGGAAGAACAAGUGCGAGAGUAACUGCUCGCACCUUGACGGUACCUAACCAGAAAGCCACGGCUAAUUACGUGCCAGCAGCCGCGGUAAUACGUAGGUGGCAAGCGUUGUCCGGAAUUAUUGGGCGUAAAGGGCUCGCAGGCGGUUUCUUAAGUCUGAUGUGAAAGCCCCCGGCUCAACCGGGGAGGGUCAUUGGAAACUGGGAAACUUGAGUGCAGAAGAGGAGAGUGGAAUUCCACGUGUAGCGGUGAAAUGGCGUAGGAGAUGUGGGAGGGAACACCCAGUGGCGGAAGGGCGAACUCUCUGGUUCUGUAACUGGACGCUGGAGGAGCGGAAAGCGUGGGGAGCGGAACAGGAUUAGAUAACCCUGGUAGUCCAACGCCGUAAACGGAUGGAGUGCUAAGUGUUAGGGGGUUUCCGCCCCUUAGUGCUGCAGCUAACGCAUUAAGCACUCCGCCUGGGGAGUACGGUCGCAAGACUGAAACUCAAAGGAAUUGACGGGGGCCCGCACAAGCGGUGGAGCAUGUGGUUUAAUUCGAAGCAACGCGAAGAACCUUACCAGGUCUUGACAUCCUCUGACAACCCUAGAGAUAGGGCUUUCCCUUCGGGGACAGAGUGACAGGUGGUGCAUGGUUGUCGUCAGCUCGUGUCGUGAGAUGUUGGGUUAAGUCCCGCAACGAGCGCAACCCUUGAUCUUAGUUGCCAGCAUUCAGUUGGGCACUCUAAGGUGACUGCCGGUGACAAACCGGAGGAAGGUGGGGAUGACGUCAAAUCAUCAUGCCCCUUAUGACCUGGGCUACACACGUGCUACAAUGGACAGAACAAAGGGCUGCAAGACCGCAAGGUUUAGCCAAUCCCAUAAAUCUGUUCUCAGUUCGGAUCGCAGUCUGCAACUCGACUGCGUGAAGCUGGAAUCGCUAGUAAUCGCGGAUCAGCAUGCCGCGGUUGAAUACGUUCCCGGGCCUUGUACACACCGCCCGUCACACCACGAGAGUUUGCAACA
rnacentral:rRNA from 1 species